rnacentral:rRNA from 2 species
CAUUAUACGGCGAAACUGCGAAUGGCUCAUUAUAUAAGUUAUCGUUUAUUUGAUAGCACAUUACUACUUGGAUAACCGUGGUAAUUCUAGAGCUAAUACAUGCUAAAAAUCCCGACUUCGGAAGGGAUGUAUUUAUUAGAUUAAAAACCAAUGCCCUCUGGGCUCUCUGGUGAAUCAUGAUAACUGCUCGAAUCGCAGGGCCUCGUGCCGGCGAUGGUUCAUUCAAAUUUCUUCCCUAUCAACUUUCGAUGUUUGGGUAUUGGCCAAACAUGGUUACAACGGGUAACGGAGGGUUAGGGCUCGACCCCGGAGAAGGAGCCUGAGAGACGGCUACUACAUCCAAGGAAGGCAGCAGGCGCGCAAAUUACCCAAUCCCGACACGGGGAGGUAGUGACAAUAAAUACUGAUACAGGGCUCUUUCGGGUCUUGUAAUUGGAAUGAGUACAAUUUAAAUCCCUUAACGAGGAACAAUUGGAGGGCAAGUCUGGUGCCAGCAGCCGCGGUAAUUCCAGCUCCAAUAGCGUAUAUUAAAGUUGUUGUGGUUAAAAAGCUCGUAGUUGAACCUUGGGCCUGGCUGGCCGGUCCGCCUCACCGCGUGUACUGGUCCGGCCGGGCCUUUCCCUCUGUGGAACCCCAUGCCCUUCACUGGGCGUGGCGGGGAAACAGGACUUUUACUUUGAAAAAAUUAGAGUGCUCCAGGCAGGCCUAUGCUCGAAUACAUUAGCAUGGAAUAAUAGAAUAGGACGUGCGGUUCUAUUUUGUUGGUUUCUAGGACCGCCGUAAUGAUUAAUAGGGACAGUCGGGGGCAUCAGUAUUCAAUUGUCAGAGGUGAAAUUCUUGGAUCUAUUGAAGACUAACUACUGCGAAAGCAUUUGCCAAGGAUGUUUUCAUUAAUCAGGAACGAAAGUUAGGGGAUCGAAGACGAUCAGAUACCGUCGUAGUCUU